rnacentral:rRNA from 1 species
GUAGGGAAUCUUCCACAAUGGGCGAAAGCCUGAUGGAGCAACGCCGCGUGUGUGAUGAAGGGUUUCGGCUCGUAAAACACUGUUGUAAGAGAAGAAUGACAUUGAGAGUAACUGUUCAAUGUGUGACGGUAUCUUACCAGAAAGGAACGGCUAAAUACGUGCCAA